rnacentral:misc_RNA from 1 species
UCCGAGUUGACCCCGGCAGUCUCCUACGAGUCCCCGGCAUUACCCGCUGGCAACAUAGGACGAGGGUUGCGCUCGUUGCGGGACUUAACCCAACAUCUCACGACACGAGCUGACGACAACCAUGCACCACCUGUGAACCGGCCCCAAAGGGGAAACCACAUUUCUGCGCCGGUCAUCCACAUGUCAAGCCCAGGUAAGGUUCUUCGCGUUGCGUCGAAUUAAACCACAUGCUCCGCUGCUUGUGCGGGCCCCCGUCAAUUCCUUUGAGUUUCAGCCUUGCGGCCGUACUCCCCAGGCGGGGCACUUAUCGCGUUAGCUACGGCACUGACGGGGUCGCUCCCCCCAGCACCUAGUGCCCAUCGUUCACGGCGUGGACUAC